rnacentral:misc_RNA from 1 species
AAAUACUGCCUCUCUUUUGACUCCAUAAUUGCUAAGUUUGUUUUCCAGUUCUCCAUUUGUGCUUCACAUGGAGCAAUAUCAUCUUCAAGCUGUGAAAGUGUUCUUUUCAAAUAAGUCAAUCUUGCUAUUGCCUUUCGAGUGUAUUCAAGAAGAACUUUUGAUUCCUGCUGCACUUUAGCUCUCUUCUCUUCUACUGCUGUUUUCCGUAGAGAAAGAUCUGCCACUGCAACAAGAAAACUACUUAAUUCAGUAUCUCUAACAUCCAACAAAUUUGCAACCUUGGCAAGAACAUGUGCAGAUGAAACCACAUUAGAUGGUAAACUCUCUUGGGCCAAUCCCACACUCUCCAGUAUCUCUCUUAUCCUAGCAGCUUGGGACCUGUACUCAGCUGCUUUUUGGCGGUAAUCAUUGGCAACAAUAGCAGAGGCUUGAGUUUUGGCUUGCGAAAGAGUGGCAAUCUUGUGUAAUUCAGCGAUGCUUCGAGGAGUGUACUCAAAAUCAGGGACAUCUUUACCCACAGCGUCAAAUUGUGAAGUAAGCCAAGCUUUCACUUCAGAAAUUCGAUUUGCAUCAAAACCAGUAGUUUUUGAUGAUUCUGCUGUUACUGAAGUAAUUGCAGAAGGAUCAGGUCCCCCCACUAUAUCACUCAUGUCCUUCUUUCUAUUUCUUGUUCCUCCCUUUUGAAUUUUCAGACCCUUCAGCCAAAAUCAGUACACAAACACUUACCAUCAUAAAACUACAAUUCAAAAAGGGAUUUUUGGGUUUUCUCUUCAUGAG